rnacentral:rRNA from 1 species
UACGUAGGCAGCAAGCGUUGUUCGGAGUUACUGGGCGUAAAGGGUGCGUAGGCGGUUGUUUAAGUUUGGUGUGAAAUCUCCCGGCUCAACUGGGAGGGUGCGCCGAAUACUGAAUGACUAGAGUGGCGGGAGAGGAGAGUGGAAUUCCUGGUGUAGCGGUGAAAUGCGCAGAUAUCAGGAGGAACACCUAUGCGAAGGCAGCUCGCUGGGACGUUACUGACGCUGAGACGCGAAAGCGUGGGGAGCAAACAGG